GCUUUGCAAAAGCGCGAAAAGCUUGGUCACGCCACCAAACUACUACCCCUUCUGCGAGAUCGCGACGUGGAGUACUACAGAGAGCCUAACGUGGUC
rnacentral:lncRNA from 1 species